rfam:Cerapachys biroi unplaced genomic scaffold scaffold270, whole genome shotgun sequence.
CAAUCGGCCCUUUUCAGGGCCACAAAUAUCUUUGAUGUUUGAAUAU